rnacentral:rRNA from 1 species
CUGGCUCAGGAUGAACGCUAGCGAUAGGCCUAACACAUGCAAGUCGAGGGGCAGCACAUGAGUAGCAAUACGAUGGUGGCGACCGGCGCACGGGUGAGUAACACGUAUGCAACCUACCUUUAACAGGGGAAUAACCCGUUGAAAAACGGACUAAUACUCCAUAACACAGGGGUCCCGCAUGGGAAUAUUUGUUAAAGAUUAAUCGGUUGAAGGUGGGCAUGCGUUCCAUUAGCUUGUUGGUGAGGUAACGGCUCACCAAGGCCACGAUGGAUAGGGGAACUGAGAGGUUUAUCCCCCACACUGGAACUGAGACACGGUCCAGACUCCUACGGGAGGCAGCAGUGAGGAAUAUUGGUCAAUGGAGGCAACUCUGAACCAGCCAAGUCGCGUAGAAGGAUGAAGGUCUUAUGGAUUGUAAACUUCUUUUGCAAGGGAAUAAAGUGGGGGACGUGUCCUCCUUUGCAUGUACCUUGCGAAUAAGGAUCGGCUAACUCCGUGCCAGCCGCCGC